rnacentral:rRNA from 1 species
AUUGAACGCUGGCGGCAUGCUUUACACAUGCAAGUCGGACGAGUGGCGAACGGGUGAGUAACGCAUCGGAACGUACCGAGUAAUGGGGGAUACCUGUCCGAACGGACAGCUAAUACCGCAUAUUAUUCGAGCGGCCGAUGUCUGAUUAGCUGUGUGGCGGGGUGAAGGGCCACCAAGGCGACGAUCAGUAGCGGGUCUGAGAGGAUGAUCCGCCACACUGGAACUGAGACACGGCCCAGACGCCUAAGGGAGGCAGCAUGGGGGAAUUGUGGGCAAUGGGAGAAAGACUGAUCCAGCGAUGCCGCGUGUCUGAAGAAGGCCUUCGGGUUGUAAAGGACUUUUGUCAGGGAAGCGGUACCUGAAGAAUAAGCACCGGCUAACUACGUGCCAGCAGCCGCGGUAAUUC